AACGAACGCUGGCGGCAUGCCUAACACAUGCAAGUCGAACGAGACCUUCGGGUCUAGUGGCGCACGGGUGCGUAACGCGUGGGAAUCUGCCCCUUGGUUCGGAAUAACUUCGGGAAACUGAAGCUAAUACCGGAUAAUGACGUAAGUCCAAAGAUUUAUCGCCAAGGGAUGAGCCCGCGUAGGAUUAGCUAGUUGGUGGGGUAAAGGCUCACCAAGGCGACGAUCCUUAGCUAGGUCUGAGAGGAUGAUCAGCCACACUGGGACUGAGACACGGCCCAGACUCCUACGGGAGGCAGCAGUGGGGAAUAUUGGACAAUGGGCGAAAGCCUGAUCCAGCAAUGCCGCGUGAGUGAU
rnacentral:rRNA from 1 species